rnacentral:rRNA from 1 species
AGUCGAACGGCACCUUUAGGGGUGCAGUGGCGGACGGGUGAGUAACGCGUGAGAAUCUGGCUCCAGGUUCGGGACAACCACUGGAAACGGUGGCUAAUACCGGAUGUGCCUUUGGGUGAAAGAUUAAUUGCCUGGAGAUGAGCUCGCGUCUGAUUAGCUAGUUGGUGGGGUAAGGGCUUACCAAGGCGACGAUCAGUAGCUGGUCUGAGAGGACGAUCAGCCACACUGGGACUGAGACACGGCCCAGACUCCUACGGGAGGCAGCAGUGGGGAAUUUUCCGCAAUGGGCGAAAGCCUGACGGAGCAAUACCGCGUGAGGGAGGAAGGCUCUUGGGUUGUAAACCUCUUUUCUCAGGGAAGAACGCAAUGACGGUACCUGAGGAAUCAGCAUCGGCUAACUCCGUGCCAGCAGCCGCGGUAAUACGGAGGAUGCAAGCGUUAUCCGGAAUGAUUGGGCGUAAAGGGUUCGCAGGUGGUAGUGAAAGUUUGCUGUUAAAAGUCGGGGCUCAACCCCGAACCGGCGGUGAAAACUACACAACUAGAGUGCGGUAGGGGCAGAGGGAAUUCCUGGUGUAGCGGUGAAAUGCGUAGAGCUCAGGAAGAACACCGGUGGCGAAAGCGCUCUGCUAGACCUGCACUGACACUGAGGGACGAAAGCUAGGGGAGCGAAUGGGAUUAGAUACCC